GAUGAACGCUGGCGGUAUGCUUAACACAUGCAAGUCGAACGGUACCUUCGGGUAUAGUGGCGGACGGGUGAGUAACGCGUGAGAAUCUAUCUUCAGGUCGGGGACAACAGUUAGAAAUGACUGCUAAUACCGGAUGUGCCGAAAGGUAAAAGAUUUAUUGCCUGAAAAAGAGCUCGCGUCAGAUUAGCUAGUAGGUGGUGUAAGAGACUACCUAGGCUUCGAUCUGUAGCUGGUCUGAGAGGACGAUCAGCCACACUGGAACUGAGACACGGUCCAGACUCCUACGGGGGGCAGCAGUGGGGAAUUUUCCGCAAUGGGCGAAAGCCUGACGGAGCAAUACCGCGUGAGGGACGAAGGCUCUUGGGUCGUAAACCUCUUUUCUCAAGGAAGAUUCAGACGGUACUGGAGGAAUAAGCAUCGGCUAACUCUGG
rnacentral:rRNA from 1 species